AGUCAACGCUGGCGGUAGGCCUAACACAUGCAAGUCGAACGGCAGCACAGUAAGAGCUUGCUCUUACGGGUGGCGAGUUGCGGACGGGUGAGGAAUACAUCGGAAUCUACUUUUUCGUGGGGGAUAACGUAGGGAAACUUACGCUAAUACCGCAUACGACCUACGGGUGAAAGCAGGGGAUCUUCGGACCUUGCGCGAUUGAAUGAGCCGAUGUCGGAUUAGCUAGUUGGCGGGGUAAAGGCCCACCAAGGCGACGAUCCGUAGCUGGUCUGAGAGGAUGAUCAGCCACACUGGAACUGAGACACGGUCCAGACUCCUACGGGAGGCAGCAGUGGGGAAUAUUGGACAAUGGGCGCAAGCCUGAUCCAGCCAUACCGCGUGGGUGAAGAAGGCCUUCGGGUUGUAAAGCCCUUUUGUUGGGAAAGAAAAGCAGCAGGUUAAUACCCCGCUGUUCUGACGGUACCCAAAGAAUAAGCACCGGCUAACUUCGUG
rnacentral:rRNA from 1 species